rnacentral:rRNA from 1 species
UACGUAGGGUGCGAGCGUUAAUCGGAAUUACUGGGCGUAAAGCGCGCGUAGGCGGUUUGUUAAGUCAGCUGUGAAAGCCCCGGGCUCAACCUGGGAACUGCAGUUGAUACUGGCCGACUGGAGUACGAGAGAGGGAGGUAGAAUUCCAUGUGUAGCGGUGAAAUGCGUAGAUAUAUGGAGGAAUACCGGUGGCGAAGGCGGCCUCCUGGCUCGAUACUGACGCUGAGGUGCGAAAGCGUGGGGAUCAAACAGG